AUUCCAUGAUGAGGGCACAUCCGUAAUAAUUCUUUGUACCUUUCCCAUGCCUCAUACAAUGACUCAUCAUCCAUUUGUUGGAAAGCAGUGAUCUCAUUCCUCAACGU
rnacentral:snoRNA from 1 species